CUAAAGCUGUAUUAUUCCCCUUUCCAUUAUUUGCCAAUGGGUAUGUUACUAUUAUCUAAUCUAGGCUCAAAAGGAUUCACUUCUGUGUCUACAUUUUUCUGGAUGCUUUGGGACAAUAUAUUACUCAUAACUAAGCUGUCGUUUGUGCUCCCUAAAAGUGAUGGAGCAUGGUUUUAUGUUGAUGCUUUGGAUUUGGAGGUGGAUUGUUACUGCAUAUUGACAAGGGAAGAUGGAAAGUGGAUGAAGAGUGGAAUGAAAUCUUUUUCCUUGAAUGACUCUUAGCACGUGUAUUGGUAGUCUAUACUAUUCUUUUGGCCAAAAGCGGUCUAUACUAUCUAAAGGUGCCUCCAGCAUUCUGUAAGUGAUUUAAUCUGAUUGGAGUUGAAGAGAAAUAAAAUCAGGAGAAGUCUUUGAAAUUUCAUUGAUUGUGCCGAGAGGUAUUGUAUGAACUAAUUUAAGCUGCAUAUACUGGAGAAGGAUUAUUUUUGCAACAGUAUCCUAGAUAAGCUGAGAGCUUUCUCAUUUGGGUUGAACAGUAAUCUUCUGUUACAUGAAAUUGCUUUGUCCUUCCCCUUUGAUGAACAUAUUGCAUAAAUUUGAUGUGGUAGCUAACCAGUGCCAUUCCUCCUAUUUUCGUGUCAAGAAGAAAACUAAUGGAAUACCACUGUAAUAGAGGAGAAUUUGACAGUUACAUGUCAUGUCCAGUUUCUCAUAGAUUGUAGUGGAGAGGAAGACGGUGAAAAGAGUCAAGAUAGUGCCUACCUGAUUAAGAAGUCUGCUCUUAUUCAGCUUGCGGAGGAAAGCCCAGAACCAAAACAAUUGUUUUCUGUAACAAGAUUGCGACAUGUUGGAAAGUUGAAAAUGCAUUGAACGAAUUUACAGAAAAGGCACUCUUAUAAAAGUUCUACCUUUCCAUGCUGCUGUUACAGAAGAGUCACUACAGGCAAAUAUGAAAGAGUUUUCUGCUUCUCCAUCUAAAGAUGUUUCCUCGUUUUUGGUUUGCACCGACAGGCGAGAGCUGAGUGUUAGCUAACACUCAAGGCACUCACCUAGGCGCUUAGGCAAAGCGAUGCGAAGCCUCUGCUCCUCACCUCAUCUCAGGCAAGGUUUCUUUGUUUAAGAUAAGCACCUGAGAUGAGGUGCUCCUCCUCUGAGGUAUUGCCUCAGAAAAGAUUUGUCUAGGUUAACAUCUUGAUGUGCUUCGAUGCAGACCGCGAAUAACUUGUGAUUUUUUAGUGUGAAAGACCUAAAAAUUUGUUUUGUGAUGGAUUAAUCUCCACUUUCUACUUAGCACCUCUCAUUGUUCAGCCUAGCGCCUGAGGCACAGUGGGGUCAGAGCCUCUUAGCAGCGCCUAGUGAUUUUAACAGCACUGUUUGUGACAGAGUCAAAUAAAAGGCGGGCACUUUUAACCAUUGGCGGGGUCACUGGACAUAUACAAAUUUACCUGAGACAUGUCACUCUCCUCUUUCUUUAAGUAUUUGCAAGAUCCUGAUGAUUCUUGAACCAUA